GAAAAAAAGGAGACUGGCCUACUCUUGGAUUUAUGUAAAUGUCUUGGAUGCAUUUAACACAAUUAACUCAUGUUUUAAAGUUAAACGUAACUCUAUAGUGUAGAAACUACAUAAUAUGCAAAGAGGGUACGUGAAUUUGUUCAGAUCAUGUUGGCAUGAAGUGAGUCAAUAAAGAAGCGAUGUAAUUCUCGUGAUACCGCACGUGAUCUCGUCUGGCGCGCUUUACAUUGUUGCCAGAAGAAGCAGGCAACGGUCACAUCAAAGGGCUCGUCGUACUGUACUCCACGCCACUAUUCGGUCGAUUGACAGACAAACUCAACUCUGCAUUUCACCUGGAGUCAGUUGAUGGAUCGUGGGCUCAAGUUUUUGUGGGCUAGAAGUUUAAUGAGGUUGUAACGUGAAUGUUCUUGGAUUGCAAAUUUCAAACAACCGCCCUUUUUGAUGCAACGGAGAUAAACGCAGAGUUUAAGAGCAUCCCAGCCAUGCCUCUACAAUCAAAGUGUUUGCAAAGCGGCCGGGGAGCAGGGAAAAAAGCUGAAAGUCAUAUCUGCCAUGAUGACAG